AGCGGAGGAAAAGAAACCAACAGGGAUUGCCUCAGUAACGGCGAGUGAAGCGGCAACAGCUCAAAUUUGAAAUCUGGCCUCUGGCCCGAGUUGUAAUUUGCAGAGGAUGCUUCGGGCGCGGUGCCUUCCAAGUCCCCUGGAACGGGGCGCCGGAGAGGGUGAGAGCCCCGUACGGUUGGCGGCCAAGCCUGUGUGAAGCUCCUUCGACGAGUCGAGUAGUUUGGGAAUGCUGCUCUAAGCGGGAGGUAGACCCCUUCUAAAGCUAAAUACCGGCCAGAGACCGAUAGCGCACAAGUAGAGUGAUCGAAAGAUGAAAAGCACUUUGAAAAGAGGGUUAAACAGCACGUGAAAUUGUUGAAAGGGAAGCGCUUGCGACCAGACGUGCGCCGGGGUGUUCAGCGGGCGUUCUCGCCCGUGCACUCGCCUCGGCGCAGGCCAGCGUCGGUUUGGGCGGGGGGAUAAAGGCGUCUGGAAUGUGGCUCCCCCGGGAGUGUUAUAGCCAGGCGUGCCAUGCCUCCGCCCGGACCGAGGUACGCGUUCUGCAAGGACGCUGGCGUAAUGGUCUCCAGCGACCCGUCUUGAAACACGGACCAAGGAGUCGAGGUUUUGCGCGAGUGUUUGGGUGGAAAACCCGCACGCGUAAUGAAAGUGAACGUAGGUGAGAGCUUCGGCGCAUCACCGACCGAUCCUGAUGUUUUCGGAUGGAUUUGAGUAAGAGCGUAGGGCCUCGGACCCGAAAGAUGGUGAACUAUGCUUGGAUAGGGUGAAGCCAGAGGAAACUCUGGUGGAGGCUCGCAGCGGUUCUGACGUGCAAAUCGAUCGUCAAAUCUGAGCAUGGGGGCGAAAGACUAAUCGAACCAUCUAGUAGCUGG
rnacentral:rRNA from 1 species